AAGACUCUAUUUUCAGGGAUCAUUUCUAUAGUUCCUUACUAGAGAAGUUUCUUUGUGUAGAGCACCAGAAAUCACAAGGAGGAGGUACAGCAUCCUCUCCUGAGCGUGAAGCUGGCCCUGGGUGUCGCUCUGUGCAACUGCCCUUAGCCAUUGAUGAUCGUUCUCCGCCCCCCCCCCGCCCCUCCCCGGGGGAGUAAGAGGGAGAGAAGGCAGUCUGAGUGGC